rnacentral:rRNA from 1 species
AUGGACCCCGCCGUUGAGCGCCUCAAGACCGGCUUCGAGAAGUUCAAGACCGAGGUCUACGACCAGAAGCCGGAUCUGUUCGAGCCCCUCAAGGCCCACCAGUCACCCAAGUACAUGGUGUUCGCGUGCGCUGACUCGCGUGUGUGCCCAUCAGUGACCUUGGGCCUGGAGCCAGGCGAGGCCUUCACCGUCCGCAACAUCGCCGCCAUGGUCCCGUGCUACUGCAAGAACAAGCACACUGGUGUCGGGUCGGCCAUCGAGUAUGCCGUCUGCGCCCUCAAGGUCGAGUUCAUCGUGGUGAUCGGCCACAGCCGCUGCGGCGGGAUCAAGGCCCUCCUCAACCUCAAGGAUGGCGCCGAUGACACCUUCCACUUCGUCGAGGACUGGGUCAGGAUCGGGUACCCGGCCAGGAAGAAGGUGAAGGAUGAGUGCUCCGAGAUGCCUUUUGAGGAGCAGUGCGGUGUCCUGGAAAAGGAGGCCGUCAACGUGUCGCUCCAGAAUCUGAGCACCUACCCGUUCGUCAAGGAGGGUGUGGCCAACGGAACCCUCAAGCUGGUCGGCGGCCACUACGACUUCGUCUCCGGCAAGUUCGACACAUGGACGCUGUAA